AUGUGUGGUUCGGCUACCAUGUGAAAAUAAUGGAUUUAUAUGUUUAAUAUAUAAUAUACUAGACAACAUGAUAAAAACCAUAUUAGUGGAUUUUUGUUGGUUAUGGAAUGUGGAUAGAUUACUAUCUCAAAAAGAGAUAGUUUGAAAGAGCUUCUAUUAGAAUUUAUCUAACUUUAUUUUUUUUUGAUAUUAACUUUGAGGUUUAUCUUAUUAGUAGUAACCUUUAAAUAUUUAGAGUCACCUUUGUUAGAUAUUGGUGAUCCUUAGAGUCUUAUUUUAUUUCUUUUAUAUAAUUUUUAGGAUAUAUAUUAUA
rnacentral:lncRNA from 1 species